GAUAAAACAGAGGCAGUGGGGCACAGUGAAAAGACCGGAGUCAGGAAAACCUGGAUUCAACUUCUAUUUGUAACAGAUUUAUAUUGAGCACUUAAGAUAUGAUUCAGUGUCAUAAACACUCUGCAGUAAGCCGAAGCAUAAACUACUACCAAGAGGAAAAGGAAACCAAACUAUGGAAAGAAGCAGCAAGAGGUCACGUGGUUUUGUGCCUUCAUAUCCUCACAUGUGGGACCAACAACAUAACACCUGCACUGCUUGGUUCAUCAGGCUAUUCUGCGAAAUGCACUGGGUAAGCUUCUAAGUAACAUGUCAAUGUGAGCAACAAGCAAGAAUCUGCCUGCUGAAUUUCAUUUCACCUUUAUUUGAUGGGAAUUGCCUCUCCAAUUAAUUCCUAUGAAAGUGAUGCCC